rnacentral:lncRNA from 1 species
CGUUAUUGGUGCUUAGUAUAAGAUGAGUACCAAUGACGAGUCAUAGCUAUCCAUUGGUGGACAAAGUUCUUAUGAAUUUUAGUAUUUGAUUGAAAUUUAUUAUCCAUUAAUGAAUUGAUAUGACACGUCAUCGUGUUUAGUAUAAGAUUAGCAUUGGUGCUCAUUAGAUCAUUAUAUAUAAAUCUAUAAUAGUCUAUCACUUGGUUAUUAAAGUCUCAUUUAAAUAUACUCUCCUGAAUUCUUCUAGUAACUUUUAAGUACAAAAAAAAAUACUCUCCACUUCUCAUAAACGUAUGAAAGAGCAUAAAAUUUAUACAUGUCACUACAACAUGCAAGCCACUAGAAUUUACAACUUUAGCAUUUCAACAUAUAACUUAUGGUCCAAAAUGUUGUUUCAAAAACACAACAAAGAAAAAACCAAAACACGGCUCAGCCCUAUCAACCAUUUGUGUAAAUCCUCGAUAUUCCUUGAAAUCUAGCACUAUGAUGUUUGUACGUAUCAUUGAGCAUGACCAAAUGUCUACACCACCUUAUAAUCACACGUUCCCGAGCUCAAUAAGAAAGGGGUAAUUCUGCAUCUAUUAUAAGAUUACAAGAGUACUCUGGUGGGAUCUUCACGGACCCCCCCCCCCCCCCCCCCCCCCCCCCCCAAAAAAAAAAUAAUAAUAAAUAAAUAAAUAAAAGGAAAGAUUGAGUCACUUUAGAAUUUUCUUAUUUCAAACUUGAAGCAGAACCUGCAUGAUCCGCUAGGCCUUCCUUCAAAUGAAGACUCUCAGGCUUCAUAAUGUUCAUGUUCUUUGCAAUACUUAUUACUAACAAAGUGAUGUGUACAGAACCACCCAAGAAAUGCAACAGCUUGUUGUAACGAAUGUAGAACCAUGACCAAAGUUGCAUUUUCGAUCAUUGCUGUGAUUCAAAAAGCUUUCACCAGUAAUCGUUACAGGAACAUGACCCAUUUUUGAUGUGGUGAAACCUGUUUGAAUCCCUUACCACUAUCUCUCUCCCUGUUGCAAUCGAUAUGUAUUUCAUGGCUGCAUGACAAUCUCCACAGACUCGAAGAUUUUUAAAAAUCCUAAUGGGGUUUGGCUUACUUGUGCUAAUAAGACCAAAUGCCAAAGCUAUUUUUUCACUAUGUUGAAACAAAUAUUGUUCCUUUUGCUCCUCCUCCACUUCAUGAAGUACAAAAUCAUUGUUUGGGACAUAGCCCAUCUCCUUUAUUUCAAGCAACAACCGAUCUAGUUCUUCAUAUAUAUCCCUUGUCCGAGGAUGUUUAGUAUCUCCUACAUAAAACUUGUGUAACUUAUUUUCUGCUUCCAUCCAGCUGCACCCUGCCUCCUUAACCAAAUUUCUUUCUUUCAUACAUUUUCUGAUUUUUGCCACCUUCCCCCACUGACCACUUGAAGCGUACAAGUUUGAUAAUAAAAUAUAAGCUGCUGGAUCAUUUGGAUCCUGCUCAAGAAUCAUCUCUGCUGCAUCUUUCCCAAGUUCUGCAUUGCCAUGGACUCGACAAGCACUAAGCAAUGUGCGCCAAACCAGAGCGUUAGCCAUAAAAGGCAUUGACUCGAUGAAUUGUAUGGCCUUUUCUAGAAGUCCCGAGCGACCUAACAAAUCAACCAUGCAUGCAUAAUGUUCCAUCCUCGGAUGUAUCCUAUGUUCUUUGUACAUCAGAUGGAAGUAUCUCCAUCCCUCAUCAAUUAGACCUGCAUGGCUACAAGCUGACAAAACAGCAAUAUAAGUGACCUCAUUCGGUUUUGCGCCAAAAUCAAGCAUUUGCUUGAAUAAUUCCAAAGAUCUUUUGGCGAAUCCGUGUUUAGCAAAGCCUGUGAUUAUGGAAGUCCAUGAUAUCACAUUCCAAUCUUCCAUUUGUUCGAAAACUUGAAAUGCAGCUUCUAUGUUACCACACCUGGUAUACAUCGAAAUCAAAGCAUUAGCAACACAUUGGUCAGACUCAAACCCGGAUUUCAGCAGUUGAGCAUGUAUUCGCUCUCCCUUACCAACUGCUCCAACACUUGCAGCUCCGCUCAAGAGACUUGCAAAUGUAAAAGCAUCAAGACCAAUUCUUGAACCAUCAAUUUGACUAUAAAGCUCAAAAGCUUCGUUAGAAUCCGAAUUCCUAGCAUAACCAUCAAUAAGUGCAUUAUAAGAAAUCAAAUUUCUCUCAAAUAAAAAUUCAAAAGCUUUUCGUGCAUCUUCCAUCCUAUCAGUCUUAGCAUACAUGCUAAUCAAAGAAUUGCCAACAAGAUUAACUGAUGCAAGACCCAAUUUCACUACAUGAUUGUAUAUCUGUACACCCAAAUCCGCAUUAAAAAGAUUCCCACAUGCCUUCAAAACACUAGCAAACGUAAAAUGAUUGGGCUUCACUCUGCUUUCUAUCAUCAUCCUACAAUACAACUCAAUAGCUUCCUUCUCAAGGCUUCCAUUUUGCAAAUACCCUGUGAUGAUUGCUGUCCAAGACAUGACAUUGUGCUCCGGCAUUCGAUCAAAAACUUUUCUCGAAUCAUCCAUUGAGGAAUUCACGGAGCACUUUGCAUACAUGUCCACCAAACUACACCCAACACAAACAUCAGAACAUAACCCAUUCUUGAUGACCCAACACUGCAGUUGCUGCCCAAGAAACAACCACCCCAAUUCAGAACAAGCUGAUAAAACACUACUAAAUGUAAACCGGUCAGGUGUAAACCCAGCCAAUACCAUAUCCCUAAACAACUCAAUUGCAUUCUCCGGUAACCCCAAUUGGGAACAUCUCGUAAUCAUCAAUGUCCACGAAACAGAAUUUUUCUCUGGCAUUUCAUCAAACACAUGUUUUGCUAACUCCAAAUCAUUGAACCCCUUCGCAAAUAAAUCAAUCAACGCACACCCAACACAAACAUCAGCUUCAAAAUACCCAGUUUUCAACACAAAACCUAAAAUUACCACCCCAACCCACGCAUAUUCUUUAUUGGAACAAGCUUGAAUCACUGCCGAAAAGCAAAAUUCAUUCGGGUACUCCCCAAAUUUCACCAUUUCAAAGAACGUCAUAAUCGCCUGUAAAUUCAAACCACUGCGCACAUAGCACGAAAUCAUCGCGCUCCACGAAACCAAAUCUCUCUUAUCUCCCUCCAUACUUUCAAAAAUUUCCUCAGCCCUUUCCCACUCCCCACAUUUCGCGUACAGGCUGAUCAGCGAAUUCAAUGCAAUUGAAUCACACUCAAGUUUGGACUCCACAAGUCUGGAAUGCACAACUCGACCCAGAUCAAAAUUCCGGGCCCGAAUGCAGGACUUGAGUAGUACAGAGUAGACAGUGAGGUCUGGUGUGAAGCUAUUCUUAGACAUGAAAUCGAGGAUCGAGAUUCCUUCCUUGAUGUGGCCCACAUUUGCUUGACUGAUCAAAGUGUCCUUGAGAGUUUCAAAAUUAAGGGUUUUGCGAGGGAGACUGCUGGUGAUUCUUUGGGGGGAAGGAUGGUUGGACUUGAGUAUAAGUGAAGAAGCGGGGGAAGGAAGAGAGAGACUUAUCAUGACGUCUUUUACGGCUAUCUCUG